rnacentral:rRNA from 1 species
UACGUAGGUGGCAAGCGUUAUCCGGAAUUAUUGGGCGUAAAGGGUGCGUAGGCGGCGAGAUAAGUCUGAGGUAAAAGCCCGUGGCUCAACCACGGUAAGCCUUGGAAACUGUCUGGCUGGAGUGCAGGAGAGGACAAUGGAAUUCCAUGUGUAGCGGUAAAAUGCGUAGAUAUAUGGAGGAACACCAGUGGCGAAGGCGGUUGUCUGGCCUGUAACUGACGCUGAAGCACGAAAGCGUGGGGAGCAAAUAG